GCAGAUGGAGAAAAAUGAGGUCCCGUGCAGGAGGCGCCCGUCUCCUCGGACUGUGGCUCUGACCCCUGCGUGUGCGGCAUCUGCCAGAACGCACGCAUUCCAAGAGGCAGACCUCGCCCCCGGGUGGGGGUGGCGCAGAGACUUGGCGUGCCCGUGGGUACUGCCUGGACCUUGGCCACCUCCCAAAGCAGAAAUGAUCAGAGACCUGGAAGGAAACUCAACAUGGAAGAAAUGACAACCAAGGCUGUGAAGCGAAUGCCAGGGUCAGCCUAACCCUAUCUCUAAAUAUCGCGGCAGCACGGCCGAGCGUGGAAGCCCACGCCUCGGGUGACAGCAUUUCGUGCUGGCGACAGGAUUAUUCUGCUCCAUGGGUCCAUCCUCUCUCUGAGGGAUAGUAGCUAAAGCCUUUGAACAAGAUCCGCUCUUUCUGAUCCCGUAGAAAGUAAAUUUUGCCAGCCAGCAAAUCUAGAAUACGUAUUUUUAUGGCAAAAGCCACCCCCUCAGAGAUCUGCUGAGAAGGCAGGAGAUGAGGAAGACAGGCAAAGAAGACAAGUUCACCUGAAAGAAGGUUGAGAUAAAGGUGAAUCUGGAGCCUUGAACUCUACCUUCCGUAGACUCAACAUUCCGAUACUUUGCAAGAUUAUAAAGCUACAGCCAAAGGGUGAUGCUUCUCGUGCACAGAGGCGCUCUGUGGUUCCACAGGUCGGUUUUCCACAUCCUCUUCGGAGAAGGGCCAUGUCCAGCGCUGGGAGGAGAGAAGUCAACAGGGCAGAACCCUUGUCGUGAAGAGCAUGCAGUGUGAGCAAAGGAACAGCCGGCCACAGAGAAGACCCACACGUUUUACUAACAAAGUCACGGAACACGUGCUCCAGGAGCAGAGCACAGGGAGACAGGAAGGCUUCCUUUCCAGAGAAGGUGACUUCCGAGCUGCAUCUGAAGGGAAGCCCUGUCCAAAGACUCACUAGGAAAUGAAUAAGGAGCAGCCAGGGAACUGGUGAGCUGGAGGGAAUUCCAUGGAAGACAUGAUGAGUUCCUCUCACUGCCUCCUAGAAGAGACGUGCGGUCAUUUAGUCCCAGUAAAAAGUGGUGCCUGUGAGUUUUCUCCACUGUAAUGUCAUUAUUUUACCGUGAUCAAUGGGUCGCUUGUGAGGAGGUACUUUGAGACUCUGCAAAUAUCCUAUGAUGAAUCAUUCAUCGAUGAUUCUUGACUGACUCAAAUAUUACUACGGCUGCCAAACAGUGGCAUUCUACGUCAUUCCUCCUACAAUCAUAAGCUGACUUUCAACAGUAGGGAGGAGUUUGCUUGUCUGCCUUAUUUAUUUAUACUGGCAUGGACUCAUGAAUCCUCACUCCAUUCAGUUUGUUAUAAUUCUUCACUACCAUCUUUUAUUUAGACACUCAAAUUGUCCCAGAAGUGUGCCAGGUACUUUAUGGAAAAUAUUUCCUGUAAUUCUCAAAGCACAUCUUUGAGGGGUAGGGAUUAUUUUGCAGACAAAGAAACUGAAACUCAGAGAGAUGAACGUUCACCACAUCUAAUUGCUGGAGUUUCCAAACUUCUUAUGCCAAGUGCUCGAUAUUUAUGUGCAUCCACCUUGUAUAUAAAUCCCCCCCCAUCCUGAUGUUUCUGCCGUAUAGGAAUUACCCUCUCGCCUCCUAUUUUUAAGAUAGGAAAAUGAGCUCAGAGAGGUUAGGCAAUGGGUCACAAAAACUAUCAUGAGAAUUCAGAGGCCUAUUUGACAUCACGUGUUGUUUUUCAGCAGCUCACGUUGCUCCUUUAAGAUGUUUUUCCUUUUGCAGAUGGGAUCCUUUUUGCCAUUUAUUUAAUUCUAUUCAGGGAAGAGGAGGUGAAACUGUGGUUUUUUUUUUGGUUUUUUUUUUUUUUUUUAAUAAACAGAUAGCCUGUGUUAGCUUUGGCUACCCUGAUUCUAAUCAGCACGUAGGCUAGGAAGUUGGGGUGACUUUGAUCUUGCUGGAAUCCUUGGUGUUCUUGGGAGCUCAUGUAGUUGACUGACUAAAAAAUUUAAUCUCUCGCGGUGAAUGUGUUCUUCCUAGUUUUUAAGGAAGAUUUUGGGGAAGUCUUUCAUCCUGUAGUCAUUCUUGAAUUUGUUGUCCAUGUAAAUAUGGAUUUUUCCAUUAUUAUGUUUGUGUUAAUCACAGCACAGUGAAGAAAUUUCUCAUUCAUGAAUCACUGGCCAAGGAACGUUGCUCAUAGCUCCAUAAAAACAACGCAGACAUCUUUGAUACUUAGUUAAAAAGCAUCACUCACGCCUAGCUUUGACCCCAGGUGACCUGAAAAUGAGGUUUGAGGACCACUGGACUUCUAAUCACCCCAGAUGCCACUACAAACGCAGAGUUUGGGGUCUUGUCCCGCACUCACCAAAUCAGAAUUCUUCAGUUUUAACAAACUUCCCAGAGACCCCUGAAGCUCACUAAAGUGGACGUGCAUGCUGGUGCCUCUGACCAAGCUUCUUCCUAAGGGCUCACAGUGAUGAUGGCUUUGUACCCACAACGUCAGCCUUUGGGAUCCUUGACCUCUGCCCUGCCUCCUGCCCGCAGCAGGUCGUCACGGGUCAUCUGUGGUCCCACUGCCUCUGGGGGAUGAGCCUGCAGGCAGCAUCAUUCUCCAGGUUUUCCCAGGACAGGAUCUGAGCACAGUGUUUGACAGCCCUGAGCAAAGAUCUCAAAAGCACCAUCUUUCCGGGGAGGGGAGCCAAACCCCUCUUCUAGGCUCUGGUUAAAACCAGUGCAAAUUAAAAUACAAAAAACAAAAAUAAAAAAAACAGCUAUUGAUUCACAAAGCAGAGUCCUGCCUGCAUUUAGGAAAGGUUACUUUAUCCCCAAACCAGGAUCACUGCCAAGUGACUGACUUACCUGCACGUGGGGUACUUGUAGCUUCUCUCCAGCUCUGCCUCACCCCACCCCCACCCUCAGCCUUUCAUGGAGGCUGAAACCAGUCUAGACUGUAAAUGGAGCCACGUGCAGAUGGUACCUGUCACAGUAGCUCCCAAGGCAAAUGAGCAGUGGUCGUGACAUGCAGGUAAAGGCUUAAGGGCCAGCUCUUUGGGGGAGGGGCUGGUUUGUACAUUUGGUGAUUUCCGUGAAGGAUAUACUCCCAUCCUGGCCAACGUUAAGCUACCGCCUCUCAAGACGUCUGCCGAUGUCACGAUGGGCUCCUGUGAGCUGGGAUGAAUUGGCUCCAGCACAGGACAAUCCCAAGACAAAGAGACUGAUUGGCUUUAACUGGGUUUGUGCAGGGAGGGGUGACCGAGGCCCACAGCUAGCUCUGCAGUAAAGAGGGAGGACUGGGGAGCACUGGCUAGUCAGCCUAGACUUCGGGGGAGAGCAAAUCCCUGUUCUGGCUCUUGUUAUUUCCACCUCUCUCCUGAGCAGCUGAGAACAGCCAUGUGGCAGAGGGCGUGUGAUUUUUCACGGACUUCAGGGGCACUCAUCUUCGCCUUUAAUGGAAAACCAUCCCAGCUUAUACCAAUGGGAAGAGCUAAUACCCAUAGCUCUGUGCAUCUCUGGUGGGCAGAGGAAGUAGACGGGAGCCGUUUCUAUGUGCAUCCCUCUGCCACACCACUGCUGAAUAUGUGUUUUAAGAGCAACGGGUACUGUGAGCAAUAAUCAGAGAUGAAGUGGAAUUCAAGAGCCCGACUCAUGCCAGUUUCUAAACUCAUCCUUCCUAAGUGUGGCUGGAAAGGGAGGCGGGGCCAAUAGGCACACACCCCCCUCUCUCCCGGUGAGAGGAAACCUCACAAUGGGUUCCCUAGACCAAGAGCUCCAGAUGGAGUGAAAGCCCAGAGGUGGCAAAUUCUGUGUCACUGUGUGACCCUGGGCCUCUCAUUGAGCUGCCAGAAGCCCUGGGUUCCCCAUGGCGCUGGGGACCCAGCACGGUUCUCAGGAGCGCUCUUCUGGUUGCAAGGAACAGACACUACUCGGACUGGCCCAAGGCAACGCUGUGUUAGCUGUGGGGAUGAAGGGAUCCUAGAGCAGAGCAUUGCAUCCAUCCAGGAGAACAGAGGCCGUUCAGGACUGAGGCGGUCCUUCGGUUUUCUUUCUUUCUCUGGUUCCAUUUGGUCUUUCAUCUCCUCUCCAAUCUCCUGCCUCUGAAGACAGGCCUCCUUGUGCCUUUAGACUGUACUCAGCCCGACAUGGUCACCCGUCAGCGCUCACCCGCAGGAGUUCUCAUCUCAUGUUCUCGUCUCCAAGAGUGCCUUGGAGGUCAAAUCUACAGGAAUGAAAAUCUGAUUGACCUACGUUGUGUGUUUAAGCCAAGCAGAUGCUGAAUCACAGGGCAGACCCUGCACUCCGACGUCCUUUGGCUGUGGUGUCUGCCCACGUGUGAUCCUCUCGGCCAUGACUGGAGAAGCCGGGGCGAGAAACACAGCACGUGCCGGUGUGUCCUUGAGGAAGCCACGAUGCAGCCCUCAGUGCUUCCCAGAACUGUGGGCUGCACAUGAAUGGCAUGAAACACUGUAACAGACAUCCAGAGAUGACCAGCUUUUUGCAUAGGAUUGAAGAAAUCCAUAUUGCAAUACUAUAUCAUUGAGUUUUGAUAACAAAUUUUAGUUUUUUAUGGGAAGAGAGGUUUUUUUUCUCCCCUUUGCUUCUGGUUAUUUUCUUUUUUUUCAAGUUUUUAAAAAAUUACAGUUGAUUUGCAAUGUUCUGUCAUUUCUAUGACACAGCAAAGUGACCCAGUUAUACAUAUAUAUAUACACACAUUCUAUUUUUGCAUAUUACCUUCUCCUGUUGUAUCACAAGUGAUUGGAUACAGUUCCCUGUGCUGUACAGCAGGACCUCAUUGCUUAUUCAUCCUAAAUGGAAUCGUUUGCAUCUACUAACCCCAAACUCCCAGUUCAUCUCACUCCCUCCCCCUCCCCCUUGGCAACCACAAGUCUGUUCUCCAUGCCUGUGAGUCUGUUUCUGUUUUGUAGAUAGGUUCACUUAUGCCAUAUUUUAGCCUCUACAUAUAAGUGAUGUCAUACGGUAUUUGUCUUUCUCUUUAUGACUUAGUAUGAGAAUCUCUAGCUGCUGUGGCAAAUUUUGUAAAGUGCAUCAAUGAGUGUCAUUUCAUUUAAUUGAAACAACCUUGGAAGCAUUCUUAGGUCCAUUUUAAAGAUGAGGACACUGAUACUCAGCAAAGCGAUUACCCCAAGGCCCAGCUGUUAGGAAACGGCAGAACUAGGCUUAACGUCAGGUUUUCUGACUCCACAUCCAGGGCUCUUUCCUCCUGGCAAAGGAUCAGACAAUCAAGGGCGAGGAAGGACUGUACAGAAACGGUUCUGAAGCUUUAUCUAGAGCUCAGGACUUUGGUUUUAAGUGAAAGAAUCCAACUCCGACUAUUUUGAGCAAAAUGAGAAUAUACUGGCUUCUGCAACAGAAGAGCUCAGGAGCAUCUGGACUCCAAACAUGGAGCCCUGGUGUUCUUCCUCUCCCCUGGCACCACCUUGAGGCUUCCUGAUCCUUAGGAUUCUCAGUCAGACUUCCUCUGCAAGGAGACAAGGGGGCCUCCAGCAUCUUCACAGCUUCACAUCCAGGAGGAGAAAGUCCUGCAUCAUGACAGUCUAAGAAAUCCAGAAAUUGAUCUUGGACUUGACUAGAUCCUGAGCCCAUUCCUGGAUCAGGCCAUCACUUCUGCUUGGUGGAUCUGAUGAUCCCAGAGGCCUGGCAGGAGUCCCAAGUUCACCACAGAACCCUGAGUUGGUGUCAGCCCACACGCAAUCCUGGGACUUGAGAGGAGGGGCGGGGUGGCUCCCUGGAGCGAAACUGAGGUGCUGUGACCUCAGAGGAAGGGGUGAUGGCUGCUGAACAGGCAAAACACAACAGUUAUUCCCCUUGGGGUAGGAAAAAAUGAAGCGCAUGUGAGCCUGAGUGAACUCUGGGGGCACAGGUAGGAGACAACACUUAGCACUUGGGUGUGGACACAAGAGGUGCCCAAUAAAUAUUGAUAAAUAAAUGAAUGGAUGGUCCAGACUGUUGUGGAAUAAUGAAGGGCAGGUGCCUCUGGGGCAUAGGACGUAUAAGGGAACACUGGAGAGAAGAUGCUGGGGCCAUAAUGAAAAGUACCUUGUAAGCCACGGUGCUUGUUUUCAGGCCAUGAGAGCUUCUGAAGGUUUUUUGAUCCAGGGUGUGCCAUGGUCAAUGUUUGGAGGAGAAAAACAAAAACAUGGAAAUUUCAACGUGCUAUACUCUUGUGCAAGUAUUAUCUUUUAUGGGCCUGGUGUGUCCUCCUUGCCCUUGAAGCUUUUCCCGUUAAGAUUUGGAAUCCCUUUAUCUGAAAGUCCCUAAGACAAGAAAACUGUGAGUAGUCACAGGGGCAGAGUGGCAGCGGGCUACCUGAGUCUGAUCAGGUACGCCCACCCCCUUUGUGGGCCUCCACGUAUGUAGCCCCACCCAGACGAAGGUGAAGGCCUGAACUCCACGACACUGGAGUUUCUCAGACUCACAUCUGUGGGAUGGUAGAACAGGUCUGGGUGCGGCCCCCCCCGGGGUGUGUGAACGUUCUUCGUGCCGGAGGUGUGCUCGCUGCCAUGCAAUUUCAUGUCAUGACUAGGCAUGAUUUAUUGGCAUUCUUUAUUACACCUGACUUGGAGGAGGGGUCUCGGAUGAGACUUCCGGGGAUGGGGGGAAUAUCUCACCACGAAUGCCCUCCCAGGACCAGGCACAUCUCAAGUGGUGACUUGAAUCGACUGGGGUUGGAAGAGUAUCGGCAGAGAGCUCUGCCUGCCACGAAGCUUCCCUGUUCUCAUGAGAUCCAGUCACAGCUGCUUCUGGUCCAGAAUGGAGAACAAAUAUCAG
rnacentral:lncRNA from 1 species